CAGACCGACCGCGAACAAGUUAAAGACCGUGGCGGCGCCCCCCCGACUCGUCGGGAAGGCUCCGUCGCCAUCGCCGUCGCCCCCGACUCGUCGGUGGCGCGGCGAAACAACAACCCCGGCGCCAACAGCGCCAAGGAAAACGAAUGGAGACGGCCUCGCGGGGUGCCCUGUGCGCGCCGCGGGGCAGCUUCGCCACAGAAACACAACGACUCUCGGCAACGGAUAUCUCGGCUCUCGCAUCGAUGAAGAACGUAGCGAAAUGCGAUACUUGGUGUGAAUUGCAGAAUCCCGUGAACCAUCGAGUCUUUGAACGCAAGUUGCGCCCGAAGCCAUUAGGCCGAGGGCACGUCUGCCUGGGCGUCACGCAACGCGUCGCCCCCCGCACAUCCCCGAGAGGGGUGCGCGCCGGGGGGCGGAGGAUGGCCCCCCGCGACCUCGCGUCGCGGCCGGCCCAAAAACGGAGUCGCCCCGACGAUGGGUCGUUGCGACAGGUGGUGGCAUAUCAUCGUGUCCUGUCGCGCUAGAAUCCGUCCCGGGCCGCGCCUCCCCGACCCUCGGCUCUUCCCCAAAACGGAGAGCAUCGACCGCGACCCCAGGUCAGGCGGGACUACCCGCUGAGUUUAAGCAUA
rnacentral:rRNA from 1 species